ensembl:misc_RNA RN7SL25P RNA, 7SL, cytoplasmic 25, pseudogene
GCUGGGCGUGGUGGCGCAUGCCUGUAGUCCCAGCUACUUGGGAGGCUUAGACAGGAGAAUUGCUUGAACCCGGGAGUCGGAGGUUGCAGUGAGCGAAGAUCAUGCCACUGCACUCCAGCCUGGUGACAGAGCAAGACUCUGUCUCAAGGAAAAAAGAAAUUGAGACACAGUUGAGCGCUCCGUCACUCAGGCUGGAGUGCAGUAGUGCCAUAACAGCUCACUGCAGCCUUGACCUCCUGGGCCCAAGCAAUCCUCUCAGU